GACGAACGCUGGCGGCGUGCUUAACACAUGCAAGUCGAACGGAAAGGCCCUGCUUUUGUGGGGUGCUCGAGUGGCGAACGGGUGAGUAACACGUGAGUAACCUGCCCUUGACUUUGGGAUAACUUCAGGAAACUGGGGCUAAUACCGGAUAGGAGCUCCUGCUGCAUGGUGGGGGUUGGAAAGUUUCGGCGGUUGGGGAUGGACUCGCGGCUUAUCAGCUUGUUGGUGGGGUAGUGGCUUACCAAGGCUUUGACGGGUAGCCGGCCUGAGAGGGUGACCGGCCACAUUGGAACUGAGUAACGGCCCAGGCUCCUACGGGAGGCAGCAGUGGGGAAUAUUGCACAAUGGGCGGAAGCCUGAUGCAGCAACGCCGCGUGCGGGAUGACGGCCUUCGGGUUGUAACCGCUUUCGCCUGUGACGAAGCGUGAGUGACGGUAAUGUGUAAAGAAGCACCGGCUAACUACGUG
rnacentral:rRNA from 1 species